rnacentral:rRNA from 1 species
ACAUGCAGUCGAGCGCAGUCCUUCGGGACCGAGCGGCGGACGGGUUAGUAACGCGUGGGAAUAUACCCAGUACUAAGGAAUAGCCUCUGGAAACGGAGAGUAAUACCUUAUACGCCCUUCGGGGGAAAGAUUUAUCGGUAUUGGAUUAGCCCGCGUUAGAUUAGAUAGUUGGUGGGGUAACGGCCUACCAAGUCGACGAUCUAUAGCUGGUUUGAGAGGAUGAUCAGCAACACUGGGACUGAGACACGGCCCAGACUCCUACGGGAGGCAGCAGUGGGGAAGCUUAGACAAUGGGCGCAAGCCUGAUCUAGCCAUGCCGCGUGAGUGAUGAAGGCCUUAGGGUCGUAAAGCUCUUUCGCCAGAGAUGAUAACGACAGUAUCUGGUAAAGAAACCCCGGCUAACUCCGUGCCAGCAGCCGCGGUAAU